rnacentral:lncRNA from 1 species
GCUUUUCAAGGCUGCACCCACCGCAUGUGGAGGUGCCCAGGCUAGGAGUCGAAUCGGAGCUACAGCUGCCAGCCUACACCAGAGCCACAGCAACGCAGGAUCCAAGCCGCGUCUGCAACCUACACCACAGCUCACAGCAACGCUGGAUCCAUAACCCACUGAGCAAGCCCAGGGAUGGAACCCGCAACCUCAUGAUUCCUGGUAGGACUCAUUUCUGCUGCACCACAACAGGAACUCCCCCCCGCCAAAUACUCUUCAUGCUCCUCCAGAGCAGGGGGCAUAGCCCAACUGCGGUUGUCAUUUCCAUGCUUAGCCCAGCAGCGGGCUCAUUAAAGGUGCUGGGUGAGUGGUCAGUGAUAAAUAAUGGAAGAUGGUCAAUGGCAGGUCCAAAAUGAAUGACAGUGACAGAAAAGUGUUGAAGGAAUGUGGACUCCUGUUAAAAGUCAUUGCAACGGGAUCUGGACCUGCUGAAUACUUUCCUCCCAAGAUGCACAAGAGAACUGCAAAAGCUCCACCCCUCCUUACAACACCCACCCACUUAGAGUCAUGUUCCUUUUUUUUUGAGAGCAAACAUGUUGGCUCGCUCCUGAGCCUGCUCUGGUGAGGCACAACAGUGGGCAUCUUGGUGAUGUGCUCCUAACAGCUGACAUUUAUAGAACCUUUAUUGUGUAUCUAGACCAUCACUGAACAUCCCACAGGAAUUAUAUCUCUAGUCUUCACAUCAGCACGUGAGGAUAGCACUACUGUUAUCCCCGCUUUAUAGGUGGGGAAACCGAGGCCCAGACAGAACGUAACUUCGCUAAGGCCACAGAGCUUUACCAUUAAGGAUGCUACUGAGCAGAAGACAAGACAAGCCUCCAUGUACAUUUCACGUAGUUUCCAAAACUGUAUGUGCGUAUCAUGAGCUGACCUUGAAUGAAAGGGCAAAGGGACCUAUUUUGUCACCAACCCUGCUCCCACCAAAGAGUCACUUCACUGAAUUACAGAAUCACUGCCUUCAUCCAGCACCUCACAGACAGUGUCAUCAGCACAAGACUUGAGUGACAAUACAGACAGCCCCUCUUCUUCCCAGUGAGGCCCCCCCUUCCUUGUGCUCAAACGCUCUCCUGUCCCCUCGUCUGUCCAUAUUCCCCUUGGGUUUGCUCCAAACUUCUGCUCCCACCUCUGAUUACAAAGGACACUUUAGAAUAUAGAAGAGGUAAGAUCUCUUAUUCAUGGAAACAGAAUACUCAUCACCUUGGGAGGUGCAGAAGCUAAAAAUAUUCAUAAAAAAGGAUUUAGGUAAAUUCAUGGAUAAAAGAACUCUGGUGGUUGAAAGGGGAAGGACAGAGGAGGAAGGAUGGAACCGUGAGAGGAAACCUUGAGCCGAGAGACAACCACGCGUGGCCGUGAGCUUAAGCCCACAGGUGUGGACUAAGCACUUACCAUGUGCAAAGCAUGUUUCUGAGCCCAGACGACAGGGAAUAAAAGAGACAAAAUCCCUGCCUUCAUGGAGCCUGUGCACCUCAGCAAGGGGGUCUGUGGAGCCAAGGCUGGCUCCUAACCUUGACGACCUGGUGCUCUUGGAAAACCCUCUGUGGGUGUCCUGUCCAAUAAAAAGGUUCAGAAGGCUCUUGUUGUGGCUCAGCAGGUUAUGAACCUGACUAGUAUCCAUGAGGAUGCAGGUUUGAUCCCUGGCCUCAUCUAGUGGGUUAAGAAUCCAGCAUUGCAUGAGCUGCAGUGUAGGUUGCAGAUGCGGCUUGGAUCUGGCAUUGUUGUGGCUGUGGCGUAGGCCGGCAGCUACAGCUCCAACUUGACCCCUAGCCUAGGAACUUCCAUAUGCCAAAAGUGCUGCCCUAAAAAACAAACAAAAGGGUGCACAUGCACACACACACACACACACACACACACACAGAGAGAGAGAGAGAGAGAGAGGCUCUCACCGCACUUGGCUCCAAAGGCAGCUACGCUAGUCCCCUGCCUAUGUGCUAAAGCCCAAAGAAGAUUCUGGCUUUGGAAAUCUGAGAGAGGAACAAAUGAAUAAAAGUGGAUGGUUCCUUUUGAGACCAGCAUGGCAACCAGGCCACAUAUAGGAGCCAGGCAACCCAGAGCAGACACCCUGUCCCUAGGGUCAGGGCAGAGCAGAGAAACCCAGUCAGGGAAUAAAUGGAAAAGUGCAACCUCUGGGUGUGGUCCUUCAACCAUGUUCCAGAGCACAAGUCAAGAGUUUUCCAAAGUCCUAAACUCAUCAGUCUCCUCCUGGGACCAACACUAAGAAGCACGUAGACCCAGGAGUUAGUCACAUACACUCUGGAGCAAGAGUGUCUGUGUUUGAAUCCCUGUUCUACUGUUCAUUAACCUUGGCAAGUUGCCAAAACUCCUUGGGACUCAGUGGUCUCAUCUUUUAAAUGGGAACAAUAAUUAUAACAGCCUCAUAGCAUGGUUAUGAAAUUAAAAGAGACGAUAACAUGUAAAACAAUUUAAAAGUGUCUGACGCUCUGGAAAUGUGAACUGUCACUAUUAUUACUUUUCCCAU